ensembl:lncRNA novel transcript, antisense to UPF3B
GGGCGCCGGGGACUCGGAACGCCGGGUCGGAGCUCGGCAGGCGGAGACUGUGUUAGUCUGUUUUCACAGUGGUAGAAAGAAAUACCCGAGACUGGGUAGUAUAUAAAGAGAAGAGAUUUAAUUGACUCACAGUUUCGAAUGGCUCGGGAGGCCUCAGGAAAUUUAAAAUUAUGGCAGAAGGUGAAGCAGGCAUGCCUUACAUGACAGCAGGCGAGAGGUGAAUUGCGAGUAUAGGAAAAACUGCCACUUUUAAGACCAUCAGAUCUGGUGUGACUCACUCAUUAUCAGGAGAACAGCAUGAGGGAAACCAGCCUCCUAAUCCAAUCACCUCCCACCAACUUCCUCCCUUGACACAUAAGGAUUACAAUUCAAGAUAAGAUUUGGGUGGGGACACAGAGCCCAACCAUAUCAACAGCCAUAUGAGAAGUCUUCAAAAAGUCCAUGGAAAAUGUGUAUUAUCAAGAAACUGUGCAUGGAUUGCAAAAUCUUUUUGAGGGCUGGGCAUGGUGACUCACCCCUGUAAUCCCAGCACUUUGGGAAGCUGAGACUGGUGGAUCACUUGAGGUCAGGAGUUUGAUACCAGCCUGGCCAACAUGGUGAAACCUCGUCUCUACUAAAAAACAGAAAAAUUAGCCAGGUGUGGUGGUUCACACUUGUAUUCUCAGCUACUCAGGAGGCUGAGGGAGGAGAAUAGCUUGAACUGGGGAGGUGAGGUUGCAAUGAGCUGAGAUCGCGCCACAGCACUGCAGCCUGGGCGACAGAGUGAGACUCCAUCUCAAAAACAAAAUCUUUUUGCACCAAAACAAACUGGUACUAACGCAUUAUAAAAUGUCUCAACAGGAUCUAGUUUGAGUCAUUAAAAAGGAGAAGUCAUCAGUUUGAAAAGAGCUACAAUCAGAGCAAAAUGAAUUCUGCUAAAAUUGAAGGAACAACAAACGUCAAAUUUAGGGUGAGGUUAGGGUGGAAGAAUGGUAAAAUCACUGAUGCUUUACCAAAAGUUUAUGGGGACAAUGCACCUAAAUAAAUCAGCAGUUUAUAAAAAUAGUUAAUUUGUAAGAAAGGACAAGACGAUGCUGAAGAUGAAGCCUGCAGCAGCAGGUCAUCCACAUCAAUUUGUGAGAAAAAAAAUUUAUCUUCUUUGUGCCCUAAUUUGGAAGGACCAACGAUUAACAGCAGAAACAACAGUCAACACCAUAGACAUCACAAUUGGUUCAGCUUACAGAAUUCUGACUGAAAAAUCAAAAGUUGAGCAAACUUUCCACUUGAUGGGUGCCAAAACCAGAUCAGCUGCAAAGAACAGAGCUUUCAAUGGAAAUUUUAAACAAGUAGGCUCUAUUGGUUGCUACAAAAUUAAUUGCAGUUUUUGCCAUUGAAAGACAUGUCAAAAACCGCAAUUACUUUUGCCCCAACCAAUAGAUCAUGAAGCAUCUAUUGGGAAAGUGUAACAGGAGGUGAAAUGUGGCUUUCCAACUAUGGAGACAAAGUACAAUCGAAGUAAUGGCUCCGAAGAUGUGGAAGUGGUCCAGUCAAAGCAAAAGUGGUCUGGUCAAGAGCAAAGGUCAUGGAAAUAGUUUUUUGAGCUGCUUGAGAAAUUUUGCUUGUUGACUUUCUGGAGGGCCAAAGAAAAAUAACAUCUGCUUAUUAUGAGAGUGUUUUGAGAAAGCCAAAGCUUUAGCAGAAAAAUGCCCAGGAAAACUUCACCAGAGAGUCCUUUUCUAUCACAGCAAAGGUUCUGCUCACGCCUCUCAUCAAACGGGAAAUUUUGAGAGAGUUUCAAUGGGAAACCAGUAGGCAUUCACCCUACAGUUGGUAUUUAGCUCCUUCCAACUUCUUUUGGUUUCCUAAUGAUAAAAAAUCUGUAAAGGGUACCAUUUUUUUUCCAGUUAAUAAUGUAAAAAAGAUUGCAUUGAUGUAAAUUCCCAGGAACUCCAAUUCUUUGGGGAUGGAUAAAAUGGCUAGUAUCUAAGUGCUGUGAGCAAGAGACAAAAAUAAAUAAAUAAAUGGCU